CGUGUAGGUGGAAAAGUAUGUCAGGUGUGAAAUCCCGCAGCUUAACUGCGGAAUUGCGCUUGAAACUGCUUAUCUGGAGUGCGGUAGAGGGAAGGGGAAUUCCCGGUGUAGAGGUGAAAUUCGUAGAUAUCGGGAGGAAUACCGGUGGCGAAGGCGCCUUCCUGGACCUGCACUGACACUAAUACGCGAAAGCGUGGGGAGCAAACA
rnacentral:rRNA from 1 species